GUGCCAGCCGCCGCGGUAAGACAGAGGUCCCGAGCGUUAGGCGGAAUCACUGGGCUUAAAGCGUGUGUAGGCGGAUCUGUAAGUACCUUGUGAAAUCCCACGGCUUAACCGUGGAACUGCUUGGUAUACUGCGGAUCUUGAGCCACUUAGGGGCUACCGGAACAAAUGGUGGAGCGGUGAAAUGCGUAGAUAUCAUUUGGAACGCCAAUGGUGAAAACAGGUAGCUGGGAGUGUGCUGACGCUGAGACACGAAAGCCAGGGGAGCGAACGGGAUUAGAAACCCUUGUAGUCC
rnacentral:rRNA from 1 species